rnacentral:rRNA from 1 species
UACGUAGGGUGCAAGCGUUGUCCGGAAUUAUUGGGCGUAAAGAGCUCGUAGGCGGUCUGUCACGUCGGCUGUGAAAACCCGAGGCUCAACCUCGGGCCUGCAGUCGAUACGGGCAAACUAGAGUACUGCAGGGGAGACUGGAAUUCCUGGUGUAGCGGUGAAAUGCGCAGAUAUCAGGAGGAACACCGGUGGCGAAGGCGGGGUCUCUGGGCAGUAACUGA